rnacentral:rRNA from 1 species
AAACUUAAAGGAAUUGACGGGGGCCCGCACAAGCAGCGGAGCAUGUGGUUUAAUUCGAAGCAACGCGAAGAACCUUACCUAGACUUGACAUCUCCUGAAUAGCGUAGAGAUACGUGAAGCCCUUCGGGGCAGGAAGACAGGUGGUGCAUGGUUGUCGUCAGCUCGUGUCGUGAGAUGUUGGGUUAAGUCCCGCAACGAGCGCAACCCUUAUCAUUAGUUGCUACCAUUAAGUUGAGCACUCUAGUGAGACUGCCCGGGUUAACCGGGAGGAAGGCGGGGAUGACGUCAAAUCAUCAUGCCCCUUAUGUCUAGGGCUACACACGUGCUACAGUGGUGAGAACAACGAGAUGCAAUACCGCGAGGUGGAGCCAAACUUGAAAACUCAUCCCAGUUCGGAUUGUAGGCUGAAAUUCGCCUACAUGAAGUUGGAGUUGCUAGUAAUCGCGAAUCAGAAUGUCGCGGUGAAUACGUUCCCGGGCCUUGUACACACCGCCCGUCACACCAUGAGAGCUGGUAACACCCGAAGUCCGUGAGGUAACCUUUAUGGGGCCAGCGGCCGAAGGUGGGAUUAGUGAUUGGGGUGAAGUCGUAACAAGGUAGCCGUAGGAGA